AUGCCCCGCACAGGAAGUUUUCAGAGAAGCUUUUGCACCCAAUGCUCAAUGCUGGCAGAGGCUCUACGGUUGUUUAAAAUAGGGGGGGGGGGUUUCCCUACCUGGAGAUGCCAGGAAUUGAACUUGCAGUGCGAAAGAGCUGCCCCUGGUUUUGCAUGGGGGGGGGGGCUUGUCUUGGGCUGGUGCAAGUUUGGGAGCUCACCUUUCCACAGGAGGGAUCAGAUCCUCAGCUGCCUGCCUUGGGAAAGAUGGAUUUGGAAAAGUCACAGCAUGAAAAAGAGCCUGCAUGCAAUUUUAUGGUUGGAAGUCCCUUGCUCUGUGGGGGAAAGAGAGAGACUUAGGAAAACAUCUAACAGCCCAAAUCGAGAGUUGGUUUUGUCUGAUAAGCACUUCAUGAAUACGAAUGCAAUAAUUCACAGGCAAGAGGUGAACUUGUGAGGAUUUAUGAGGAGCAUUUCCUGAAGUGUCACAGUGUUGUGUUGCAACGUUCUUGGGAAUUUAAACACCAUCACUGGCAAAGUGGCAGGCAGUUGGGCCACCUGAUUGCAGUGUGCAUCCAGGGUGACAUGAAUCUCUCAACAGCAUUUUGGUAGAGAGCUUGAGAGUUGCUCCUGUUCAACAGGCAGGGCCCCUGAAUUCGAUGCUGAGGAUCCCCUUGAGGAGAUUGAUACCUGACAAAGAGCCCAGGCUUUCCAUGAUGCUGUAAACAUCACCAAAAAACAACACCACCUUCCUUCUGUCCUGAAUCUUCCAACAUUCAGAGUUUGUGAUGACUCUAGUUUCUAGUAUUACGACCAAGGUAGAAAAAGUUCCCUAUCUACUUUGUUGUUCUUGUGAGCUCGCCAGAGGCAUCCGACUCUCCUCUGUUAGAAAUGGGUUGCAGGGCAAGAUGAAUCUUUGGUCUGAUCUGUUCUUCCAUUCUGAUAAGACGAUGGCAACAACACAGAAGGGAUGCAUUUCAUAUGUGAAUUAGCCAACAGGCAGAACUUUCUGAUCUGCCAGGCAUCAAGUGCUUAGUAAUCAAAUAAUAAACAAAGGUAUGGGCACAUGUAUAUUUUUAGUCAGGCCAAAGAAAAAUUGCAUUAAAUAUUAGGAUGAACUGUUCUGAUAAUGUAAGCGGCAGCAGAAACGGCUGACUAACUAUGGAAUAAAUUUGUCAGUUUAAAUUCUAAGCCAGAACACUUUUGGUAGAGAAUAUUUUUAUUACUAAUAGUACAACUAUUGUUAUUAUUUGGACAUUAAUUUAGUAGCUGAGGAUACUGUGCAGUUGUUUGAGCAGUUAUUAAACAAAGUGACAUAUAGGAUUAAUACUGUGAAUUGUCAAGAUCCUGAGGAUUCUGCAUCUUAAAUUGCAUAGGCAGAGACAGACUGUAUUUAGCACAGAGAGUAGUGAAUAGAACUGUCCUUGAACCUGGUGAGAUCUGGGUUCAACUCUGGACUGGGCCAUGAAACUCACUGGAUGGCCUUGGGCCAGUCACUGUCUCUCAGCCUAGCCAACCUCCUGAAGGCAAAAUUAGUUCACUCUUUGCAGAUAUGCCGCCUUCGACUCUUUUCCAGCUAUGUAAUAAAUGCAUAUGCAGUUCAAUCUUGUGCAUGUCUAUUCAGAACAAAUCCUCCCUAAACUCCAUGUGGAUU
ensembl:lncRNA